rnacentral:lncRNA from 1 species
AUCCCAAAACGUCAAAAUUACAAAACAACCGUUGUACUAAGGAUGCGUUUGGUUCGAGUUAUCCUGGCAGAAUUACAGGCAAUCCUGCCAGGAUAACUAUGUUUGGUUAAUCCGCUAUGUAAUCUAAUCGUUAAUGUAGGAUUACAAAUCGAGCAGGAUUACAUCGAAAAUAUUAACCGGAGGGGGGUCGUGUAUCUUGCAUUACUGAAACCCGUUAAUACUACAUAUUAUGUAAAAUGACAAUUUUACCCUCCAACAACCCCAAAUCUAAUUAACGGCAUUAUUUUCAUCUCUCUCUCGCCUUCCCCCCGGCCCUCUCUCUCGCACGCCGCUUUCUCUCGCUCUCUCUCUCUCUCUCUCGCGCACGAACACCUAUCAUCUUCUAUUGCGCCGUCCUCCCAAGUAAUCAUCGUGAUCUCCUUCCAUCCAUUCGUCAUUUCCAUAAAAAAUAAUAUUCAAAUGACCACAAUAAGGGCAAUUUUGGAAAAAACUAUACUUUUAUGUCAGGAUUACUAAAUUUUAUAAACUGAACCAAACAUAUUAAUCCUAUAAACACUGUAAUCUAGUAUUACAUUACUGUAUUAAACCAAACGCUCUAAUGCAGCAUUAGUAGUAAUCUCACGCCGAAAUCCAAGAUAUCUGGAUAUGUCGAGAUACUUUGUAAUAUUACAUAACUCGAACCAAACGGGCCCUAAAGGUUAAGUUGUUAGAGAACAGUGUUUAUAUAUUUUUAUAUUUAACACUCUCUUUACGUCUGGGCUUGAGAGUUUUUGGAAGGCUCAUGACGUAAACUUGAAUUAAAUGGGAAAAAAUUAAUAAUGCAAGGAGUAUAGCCUGACUCAAACUCAGAACCUACUGCUCUGAUACCAUAUGAAACAACCAUUGUACUUUAAAAUUUUAAGCUGUCAAAAAAUGAUGUUUAUAUAUUUUUAUAUUUAACAAAAAUAACCCAGAAAGUUU